rnacentral:lncRNA from 1 species
AUUUCCUCGUUGAAAUUCUCCACAAAAUGCAUUAAUUCAAUAUUUAAGAUUUUUUGAUGAAUAAAUAAUAGCUCAAACGCUGUUUUACUGUAUAGCUGAAAAAAUCCAGAAUUGUUAAUUAUGAAAUUCUGGGAAUGUUUUAAGAACUGAAACGGGAAGUGAGAUCCUAAACAAAUGUAGUCCAACUCCAGUUCAUAACGUUUCAUUCUCACAGUCCAUCAGAGUGGAGUGUGUGUGUGGGACUGAAGGACUGGGUUCUACUGCUGUUCUCUGGACUAAAUGAAAAUGCUGCUGAUCUGUGGAGUUCUGCUGAUGUUCACAGGAUCUGCUGUGGGUCUGAUUACAGUAGAUGAUCGGUGCAGAUCUGAUCAGAGCUGUGUGUUUUAUGGAGCUGUGGGACGCCGGCUGGACCUGCAGCUUCCUAAAGAUGAGGAAUUAAAAUUUUUUAGGAUAAAGAGAAGAUUUUUUUCUGAUUGCAUUUUACAUUUUAAAAACCAAAAAAUUAUAGAAAACCCUUCAGAUCCAAGAUGGGAGUUUAAUACUGAAAACAGAACCAUGACAAUAACCAGAGCAGAGAAAAGAGAUUCAGCAGGAUACAGAUUAGAAACCUUCAAUUCAACUGGAUCUAACACAGGCAUUUACUAUCUCCAUCUGAUUAUAGAAGCUGCGGUGUCGUCAGUGAAAGUGACGAACAGCUGUUUCUCCAUUACGGAGAGAAAAGUUCACUGUUCAUCUGAUGGAGAUCAGAUUCAGUUCAGCUGGACUCUGGAUGGAAUUCCUCAUAAUCAGAAUCUGACUGAUGGGAAUCGGACUCUCCUGCUGGGUGAAAGAUCUACUGGAAACUUCACCUGCACUGUAAAGAAUCACGUCAGCAGCGGAUCUGCUACGGUUAUAAUAGAGCCCUGUCCUGACUUACUUCUGAUCAUGCUGGGCUUGUUUGCUGUAUUGCUCAUCGUGGUUGCCGUCAUAGUGUGCCAUAUUUACAGGAAGAAACAAGCUCCAAAGACCACAGGAUCACCUCAGAAUGGGGAGGAACUGCUGUAUGUUCAUGUCAAUCAUAAACCCAAACCCAAAGACGGGGAGGAAGGAACCAGCAGACCAGCUCGAGUUCAGGAGGAGGAAGUGGAGUACGCCUCGGCCGUCAGGCAGCCCAAGCAGAAGAAGAAGAAGAAGAAGGAGCCGAAGGAGGAGGAAGUUCAGUACGGAGAGGUGGUCUUCAAAACCCCCGCCAAAAAGCAGCGAGAGCAGCCCGAGGAGGAGUGCGUUUACUCGCAGGUUCAGCACAAGCGGUGAGGACCACCCGCCAGCGCUAGCGCUCGGUUUACCGUCAAUCUGAGAAACUCAUGAUCAGAAAACUGAUUAUGUUAGUGGUGAAUGUUUAUGGGUGCUUCUUAAUAUGUUACUGUUUUAUUUAUACAUUAUUAUACCAUUAAUUAUAAAGCUAUGUAAGAAAUGUACAUUUUAUGUUUGAUAAGAAACAUAAAAAGGGUAUUUCUUAUUAAUGUGUAAUAAACCCUUAACUAAGUAUCA